rnacentral:rRNA from 1 species
UACGGAGGGAGCUAGCGUUGUUCGGAAUUACUGGGCGUAAAGCGCACGUAGGCGGCUAUUCAAGUCGAGGGUGAAAGCCCGGGGCUCAACCCCGGAACUGCCCUCGAAACUAGGUAGCUAGAAUCUUGGAGAGGCGAGUGGAAUUCCGAGUGUAGAGGUGAAAUUCGUAGAUAUUCGGAAGAACACCAGUGGCGAAGGCGACUCGCUGGACAAGUAUUGACGCUGAGGUGCGAAAGCGUGGGGAGCAAACAGG